GAUGAACGCUAGCUACAGGCUUAACACAUGCAAGUCGAGGGGAAACGACAUCGAAAGCUUGCUUUUGAUGGGCGUCGACCGGCGCACGGGUGAGUAACGCGUAUCCAACCUGCCCAUCACUUGGGAAUAACCUUGCGAAAGUAAGACUAAUACCCAAUGACAUCCCACGAAGACAUCUGAAUGGGAUUAAAGAUUUAUCGGUGAUGGAUGGGGAUGCGUCUGAUUAGCUUGUUGGCGGGGUAACGGCCCACCAAGGCAACGAUCAGUAGGGGUUCUGAGAGGAAGGUCCCCCAGAUUGGAACUGAGACACGGUCCAAAAUCCUACGGGACGGAGCAGUGAGGAAUAUUGGUCAAUGGGCGAGAGCCUGAACCAGCCAAGUAGCGUGCAGGAUGACGGCCCUAGGGGUUGUAAACUGCUUUUAUAAGGGAAUAAAGUGGGUCUCGUGAGACUUUUUGCAUGUACCUUAUGAAUAAGGACCGGCUAAUUCCGUG
rnacentral:rRNA from 1 species